rnacentral:rRNA from 1 species
AUGGCGACCCCUCAGAUCUACCGCAAAACCCUCCUCCCCGUCCUCCUCCUGCUCGCGGCCGCGGCGCUCUACCCAGCCGCCGCCGACGGCGACGAGGUGCUUGCCCUCACGGAGUCCACCUUCGAGAAGGAGGUCGGCCAGGAUCGUGGCGCACUCGUCGAGUUCUACGCUCCCUGGUGUGGCCACUGCAAGAAGCUUGCUCCAGAAUAUGAGAAGCUUGCUGCAAGUUUUAAAAAGGCUAAAUCAGUCUUGAUUGCCAAGGUUGACUGCGAUGAGCACAAGAGUGUGUGCAGCAAGUAUGGAGUUUCUGGCUACCCCACAAUCCAGUGGUUUCCCAAAGGUUCCUUGGAGCCCAAGAAGUAUGAGGGUCAACGCACUGCUGAAGCCCUUACAGAAUAUGUUAACUCUGAAGCAGCAACCAAUGUGAAGAUAGCCGCAGUUCCUUCAAGUGUUGUGGUUCUGACCGAGGAAACCUUUGACUCGGUUGUCCUUGAUGAAACCAAAGAUGUCCUUGUUGAGUUCUAUGCCCCAUGGUGUGGUCACUGCAAGAGUCUUGCUCCGAUAUAUGAGAAGGUGGCCUCUGUUUUCAAGCAAGAUGAGGGUGUCGUGAUUGCUAAUCUUGAUGCAGACAAAUACACAAGCUUGGCUGAGAAGUAUGGAGUUUCUGGUUUUCCCACAUUGAAGUUCUUCCCGAAGGGUAACAAAGCUGGUGAAGAGUAUGAGAGCGGUCGGGAGUUGGAUGACUUUGUUAAGUUCAUUAAUGAGAAAAGUGGAACUAGCCGUGAUUCAAAGGGUCAGCUUACUUCAGAGGCUGGGCUUGUGGCAAGUUUGGAUGCUCUUGUCAAGGAAUUCCACAGUGCUGCUGAUGACAAGCGGAAGGAAAUCCUCUCUAAAAUUGAAGAGGAGGCUGCGAAGCUCAGUGGUCCUGCUGUCAAGCAUGGAAAGAUCUAUGUGAAUGUUGCAAAGAAGAUAUUGCAGAAGGGCUCUGACUAUACCAAGAAGGAAACUGAGAGGCUUCAUCGCUUGUUGGAGAAGUCGAUCAGUCCUUCCAAAGCCGAUGAAUUCGCCAUCAAGAAGAACAUUCUUUCAGCCUUCUCCUCUUAA